UACGUAGGGGGCAAGCGUUGUCCGGAAUUAUUGGGCGUAAAGCGCGUGUAGGCGGUCCGGUAAGUCGGUUGUGAAAGUCCAGGGCUCAACCCUGGGAUGCCGAUCGAUACUGCCGGACUAGAGUCCGGAAGAGGCGAGUGGAAUUCCUGGUGUAGCGGUGAAAUGCGCAGAUAUCAGGAAGAACACCAAUGGCGAAAGCAGCUCUCUGGGACGGUACUGACGCUGAGACGCGAAAGCGUGGGGAGCGAACAGG
rnacentral:rRNA from 1 species